AUUAACGCUAGCGGCAGGCAUAAUACAUGCAAGUUGAACGGCAGCACGGGUAGCAAUACUGGGUGGCGAGUGGCGCACGGGUGCGUAACACGUAUGCAACCUACCCUAUACAGGCGAAUAACCUUUAGAAAUGAGGGCUAAUACGCCGUAGUAUUACAGAUGGGCAUCUAUUUGUAAUUAAAGAUUUAUCGGUAUAGGAUGGGCAUGCGUCCCAUUAGUUAGUUGGUAAGGUAACGGCUUACCAAGACGAUGAUGGGUAGGGG
rnacentral:rRNA from 1 species